GCGGAUGUGGCGGAAUGGCAGACGCAGUAGACUCAAAAUCUACCGAGCUAACACUCGUGAGGGUUCGAGUCCCUCCAUCCGCA
rnacentral:tRNA from 1 species